GCCCGCGUGGCGGAAUUGGCAGACGCGCUAGCUUCAGGUGCUAGUGCCUUCACGGGCGUGCUGGUUCAACUCCAGUCGCGGGCACCA
rnacentral:tRNA from 1 species